rnacentral:tRNA from 1 species
GGAGAGGUGGCUGAGUGGUUGAAAGCACCGCACUCGAAAUGCGGCAUAGGGGUAACUCUAUCGAGGGUUCAAAUCCCUCUCUCUCCGCCA